rnacentral:misc_RNA from 1 species
UCCGAUUUGUCACCGGCAGUCUCCCAUGAGUCCCCGACAUUACUCGCUGGCAACAUGGGACAGGGGUUGCGCUCGUUGCGGGACUUAAUCCAACAUCUCACGACACGAGCUGACGACAGCCAUGCAGCACCUGUGUCCAGUGCCCCGAAGGGAAAGUCGCGUCUCUGCGACCGGUCACUGGCAUGUCAAGGCCUGGUAAGGUUCUUCGCGUUGCGUCGAAUUAAACCACAUGCUCCACCGCUUGUGCGGGUCCCCGUCAAUUUCUUUGAGUUUUAAUCUUGCGACCGUACUCCCCAGGCGGUGUGCUUAUUGCGUUAGCUGCGCCACUGAAAGGUAAACCUUCCAGCAGCUAGCACACAUCGUUUACGGCGUGGACUAC